UACGGAGGGUGCAAGCGUUAUCCGGAUUCACUGGGUUUAAAGGGUGUGUAGGCGGGCUGUUAAGUCAGUGGUGAAAUCUCCAGGCUCAACCUGGAAACUGCCAUUGAUACUAUCAGUCUUGAAUAUCGUUGAGGUGGGCAGAAUAUGUCAUGUAGCGGUGAAAUGCAUAGAUAUUGGGAGGAACACCAGUGGCGAAGGCGGCUCACUGGACCGGAACUGACGCUGAGGCGCGAAAGCGUGGGGAGCAAAC
rnacentral:rRNA from 1 species